rnacentral:rRNA from 1 species
AUUGAACGCUGGCGGCAGGCCUAACACAUGCAAGUCGAACGAGUGGCGGACGGGUGAGUAAUGUCUGGGAAACUGCCUGAUGGAGGGGGAUAACUACUGGAAACGGUAGCUAAUACCGCAUACCAUCGGAUGUGCCCAGAUGGGAUUGGCUAGUAGGUGGGGUAACGGCUCACCUAGGGGACGAUCCCUAGCUGGUCUGAGAGGAUAACCAGCCACUCUGGAACGGAGAAACGGUCCAGACCCUUCCGGAAGGAAGAAGGGGGGAACAUUGGCCAAUGGGCGAAAGCCUGAUGCAGACAUGCGGCGUGUAUGUAGAGGGCUUCCGGGUUUUAAAGUAUUUUCAGCGGGAAGGCGGUACCCGAAGAAGAAGCAACGGCUAACUACGUGCCAGCAGCCGCGGUAAUUC